UACGUAGGGGCCUAGCGUUGUCCGGAAUUAUUGGGCGUAAAGGGCUCGUAGGCGGUUUGUCACGUCGGGAGUGAAAACUCAGGGCUUAACCCUGAGCCUGCUUCCGAUACGGGCAGACUAGAGGUAUGCAGGGGAGAACGGAAUUCCUGGUGUAGCGGUGAAAUGCGCAGAUAUCAGGAGGAACACCGGUGGCGAAGGCGGCAUCCUGGACCAACACUGACGCUGAGGAGCGAAAGCCAGGGGAGCAAACGGG
rnacentral:rRNA from 1 species